CCCGGAUUUGCAGAGGAUGCCAUUAGGAUCAUUUGUCACAAGCCAACCAAGUCUCCAACCAGGAACAAUCCAUCUCUUUGAUAUAGAUCCAAGUGUAAUAACAGGCGUAAUCGACCCAAAAACUCCCAUUGGCACAUAAGGGUUACUCCCAAAAACAAGGUGCCCAUAUACUUCAUCAGCAAUCACAAGAAUUCCGAGCAUUCUUGCAGUUUCCGCCACCUGCAAAAUCCCUAGCUGGAACAUCAUUUUCCAUUACAAAUUAAUUAUAAAACCAUGUUCCUAGAAGAUAGCUUAGCCUAGCCUACCUUCUUCAGAUGCUGGUGUGUGAAGACAUUGCCACAAGGAUUGCCGGGGUUGAUGAUAACCAUAGCAACAGUGUUCUCAUCUGCAAGAGCUUUGACUCCCUCCAGAUCAACCUCCCAACCCUUCUCGGGCAGAAGAUCGAACCGACGGAAUUCCAGAUGGUUAGCUGCAGCAUGAGCUUCAUAUAACGCAUAACCAGGUCUUGGGAGAAGAAUGUUGGCACCGGGGAGAGCAAGGACCUUUAUUAUGAGUUUAAUUGCUUGUGCACAUCCAAUUGUGAGAUAAACAUCAUCUGGGGAUAGCUUGUAUGGAAGAUCAGCAGAGAGAUAUUCCGCUAUAGCCCUUUUAAUAAAAUGGAAGUAUAAGCCUCAAGCUGAAUUCAUCAAUCUGAAAACUUUGCUAAAGGAAAAUGAUAGUCUUUUCUGGGACUGUCCAGAAAACAUGGAGCAUGUUGCAGCCAAAAACAACUAUUGCUGUUCUUAAAAAAGGAAAAGGAAUAGAACGAAAAGGACAUAGAAAAUAUAUAACAUAUGCUUCAAAAAUGGUUUGAAAUGAUUUCCAUUUCUCCGAUCAAAGUGGAUGCAGCAAGUGAGACCAAUACCCUACCUCCUCGCUGUAAGAACGCCGACGUCGGGGGAAUAGGAGUUGAAUUUCCGGGACCGGACGGCGUCGACAAUGGCCUCUUCGGCCUCCGGAGAGGUCCGGAAGGAGGAAAAGGCAGAUGGGUCACCUUGUCCAAGAGUAAUAACAGGUCUGCGAUCUUGUGGAUUAAGAUUAGAUAUAACUUUGCCCAGAACUCCCCUCACGGUGAUGGAGGAUGCUUUGUGCAACACUUGGUUUCCCCGGAAACCCCAUCUCUCCGCUGCCCCAUUCUCCAUCCUCUUCCUUUCUUCCUCCUCCAGAUUCGAGUUUUACAAUGGUCAGGAUUUCAGUGGAAGAGAGAAUUUUUUGUGGGAAAGGUGAUGGGGUGGAGUGGAGUCGAACCAGUCACGCUGGUAGAGUUUUGUCUCUUUCUUUGUAGUCUGUCUCCUUGCCCUCGUGUCCUUGGCAAAACGAUAGUGGUAACAAUUUGGAAAUGUAAAUUGAUGACGUUGGAGCUUGGAGUAGGUGUGAGACGACUGACGAGAACUUGUGAAGGUUAUUGGGGUUGGUGGCUAAUCCGAAUGAAGACACAAUCUAUUCAAGUUUAACCUAGCUGGAUCCUUCAGUCGAGGUUCUUAAUCCAAGUAUGAUUUCAUCUCAUCUCUUGAAACUCGAGUUAAAUUAAUUGACCAGGUUAAAGUCCGACAGUAUGAUUCAAAAUCCAACUAUAAUAUUUUUAUUAAGAAAAAAUUAUGUUUAUAUGACAUUUAAAACAUUAAACUUAUUGUAAACUUGUUUGGAUAAAUAUUUUAUUUUUAAAUUUUAUUUUAUUUUACUUAUAUUGGUUUUUAUAAUAUUUACUUGUUAUAUACAUAAUUAAAUAUUGAAUUAACAAAAAAAUUUGUUUAAAUGAGAGAGGAACAAUCCAAUAAAUUUGUUUUAAUAAAAAAAAAUAGUUCAUAAAAUAUUUUUCUUAAUAAAAGAGUUUUUUAUUAAUAAAAAUUCAUAAAAAUGUUCUUAGGAAAGUCCCAAAAAAAAUUUUAUAACAAAAUUCAAAAAAUUGUUUUUAGUCAUAAUUGCUUAAAAAUUUAUCUAUUUAAUAAAAAUUGUUCAAAAAAUUAGUUUUUAAAUAAAAUUGCUCAAAGGUUUUUUUUUUUUAAUAAAAUUGUCUAAAUUUAAAAAUAUAUAUAUAUUCUUAAUUAGAAUGGGAUUAAAAGUAAUUUUUGUAGAUAAAGGUUUAAUGAGAAUAGGAUGAAAGUCAUUAGUGCAAAUUGAAGCCCUAGAAAUCAUUUUCUUAAUAAAAUUAUAUUAAAAAUAUUUUUGUAAAGAAAGUUUGUAAAAAAAUUAAUUCCUUUAUAAAUAAAGUUGUAAAAAUUCAUUCUUUUUUCUAGUAAAAGUAAGUAAAAAUCUUUUUAUUGUCAAAUUAAGAUUUUUAUAAUAAUUUUUUUGAUAAAAUGAGUGUAAAUAAAUUUUUUUGAAAAGUGAAUACAAACAAAUUCAAUCAAAUAAUUUAUUGCAAAUAAAUUAAAACUUUUUCUUUGUAAAUAAAUUCAAAAUUAUUUUUUUAAUAAAAUCCUUUGAAAUUUCUUGAAAAACUAAUUUUUGAAAUAUUUUUUUUAAUCAAUAUAAUAAUUCAAUUUAUAUAAUUUUCAUGUUAUUUAUUUUGUCUAUUCUUAUAAUUUGAUUUUUACCAUGAUUUGUAUAUAUUAAUUUGUGUGAUUUUUUUUCUUGUUUAGUAGAUAACAUAUGUACAGGAGCUUAAAGGGAUGUUAUAACUCACUACAAUACCUUCUCGAUAAGUAACUUGACCCUCAAAUUUAGAUUCGAUUUUUUAUAGAUAUGUUUUUUUCUAAAUAUGGAGUCACAUAUGAUUUCAUUUUUUAUUUUGUUUUUUCUUAAAAAUAAUAAAUAAAAUAAGUAGCGAUUUCAGUCUUUUCUAAAACUCAAUUUUUUUCCAUAAAUAAAAAGCGACUAUCAUUGUCGAGCCACAAUAAGUAAUAAUUUUUUUAAUAAUAUUGUUUUUUUUUUUAAAUUACCACUCCUAGGGUGGAGUGGAAGUUGAUGUCUUGUGGGUUGCUGCAUGUGCUUCCACCAUAAGAAUAUUCAUUGCCACUAUCACAUUGCAAUAUGCAGUAUUUUAUUUCACUUAAAAUAUACAGAUAUUAUAAAAUAAAUAAAUAAAUAAAAGCACAAGGAGAGACAAGGGUAGACUAGCAUAUAUUAAUGAAGAAAUUUGAUCACGUGACUUUGAAUCAUUAAUUAAAUAAUAAAGCAUUUAAUAUUAAAACUCACCUAACCUUCUCCCCCAAUCCCCUCUACAACUUUUAAGGAGAAAACAAAGGUGAUCAUUUUCUUCUAUGCACAAUUUAUAAUUAUAUAUAUAUAAUUUUAUAAGAAGAUUUUUUUUUAAUUUUUUAAUUUUUUCAUUUCUUUUAAUUUUUUUAAUAAAUAUGUAAAAUACCUUUAAUUUUAUAAAAAUGAUAUAAUAUUAAAUUUAUUGGAAAAGUUAUUCAUGUUAAAAAUAUUCAAGGAAUUCUUUUCUUUAAUUCCUCUAAUUUUAAUUUUAAUAAUAAUUUAAGGAAAAGUGUAAGCAGAUCACCCUUUUAUAUGAUAUAUUAUUUUAUUUUAUUUUUUCUAUAAUUUUACUUUUUGUCGAUUUUUUUUGGCUUUUUGUUUUCAGCGUUUACCACUGAUAGAAAAAGAGGCUUGCAAGACAAGCAACCAAAUGGACAAAAUCAAAUCAAUUUUCAAUAUUAAUAGAAUCAAAGUUGCCAAAUAUUCAAAGCAAACAAUCUUAUAAGGUAGGAAAUUAAGGUGUCAUUUGACAACUUAUUUGAAUAAGUUAUUUUUUUAAAAUAAAAUUCUGUUUUGAUUUUAUAAAAACAUUAUAAAUUUAAUUUAUAUAAUAUUAAUUCAAAUUUUACUAACAAUGAAAAUAGUUUUGUAUUUGUUGGUCCAAAGGGUUCUCCUAAUCGGGUUUUGAUGAUAACAAAUCAUGGUUAAGUAACUAAUUUGUUUAAUGGUUAAAAAUCUCAAAUAUAAAUUCGAAAAUUCAUCAAAUGACCAAAUGGAUAUAAGAUCGAGACGCUUGGAAGACUUGUGAUCAUAGGAAACUAAUGUAAGAUGAAUGCAUGAGUGCACUUAGGAUUUUCACACGUUUCAUGCAUCUUUGAAAACUCGGUUUAUUCUUUAAAACAUCGAUUUCAUUAAAACCCGAGUUUUUAACUAAUGUACCUUAUGCAAAAUGUUUUAUAAUUGGCUUAAUAAUUUACCUAAAGACUUUGCCUAAGUGUUAAAAAAUAAAGGAAUUAAAAAAAUAGGUUUUCGGGGCAAAAAGGGUUCAACCGGUCGAGGCUAUGGCCAACCGGCGUGCUCGUCCGGUCGAUGACCAGUCGAGGGAGACCAAAAAGUUACUCUCUCUCCCAGUAGCCUUCUCUUCCCGAUCGAGGUCCGGUUAAGGCAACGGUAACUUGUCAUGCAUUAAAUGCUUCAACGGCUAAUGAACAGGUCAACCCCUAGCUCGACCGGACGAGGUUACCUUUUGCUAUUGUUGACUUCCGAGCUUAGAAACUUAUAAAUUGAGAGCUCUACUUCAUUUAUUAAUAAGAGAACACUUGCAUUCAAUAACUUAUCUGUUCUUGAUAAAAAAGCUUUCAUUUCUUUCAUAGUGCAUUAAAUCACCACUUGCAUAUCAUUUAGUGCACUAUUGUGUAUCAUCCUAGCUUUGUCUUAUAUUUAAGCUAUCCUUAAGCUAGGUUGAGGGAUUAUAUCUUGUAAAAAUCUGAGUGUUAAAGCCUUCAAGAGGUUUGAAUCUUGAAGAGGUAGUGUAAGAGCCCAUUGAAACCGGAAUCCAAGUGUAAGAAGAUUGGAAGCUUGGUUCAAACUUCAAGUUAGUGGAACCCUCACUCGGUUAGGAGGUUGAGGAGAGUGGACAUAGGCAAGGAAGUGUCGAACCACUAUAAACCCGAGUUUGAAUUUUUUAAACUCUAUCUCUUUACUUUACUUAUAUUGUAUUUGAAUUUGUUGUGAUUGAAAAUAUUUUAAAAACCCAAUUCACCCCCCCCCCUUUUGGGUGUUUUUCUUAACUAAGCAUAACCUUUGUUUUCUCAGUAUUUAUAAAUAACUUAAAAAAUAAAUAGUAACGUUAUAAUAAAAUCAUAAAUUAUAUUUUUUUAUUAAAAAUUAUUAUUUAGUAUAUGUUUGAAAGAUAAGGAUAUUAAUGUCUAUGUAGUUUUUUUCUAAAAAAAAUUAAUAAUAAAAAAUGGUUAAAAAUAUUUUAUUUAAAAUGAAAAAACAAAUCUAACUUUUAUUAAAGAAUUUAAAUUAUUAAUUAAAUCUUGUUUAAUUUAUAAUCUAUUUACCUAAUGAGAAAUUCAAGAAAUAUAGUUAUGUGUAUAGAAGAAAUAGUAAAGUCUUAAUUCAAAAUAUAGUAGCUUUGAUUUAUAAUUUUUCUUAGUGAUUAGAUCUAUUUUUUUAAUUUCAAAUUAUAACUAUUUAAUAAUAAAAAAAUCAUUAAUAAAUUCGAUACAAAGUUUCAUUUGAUCAUUUGAAGUUCAUUUUUCUUGUGAAAAUUUUUAUAAAAAUAUAAUAUAUAUGUGUAAAAAAAUAAUAGUCACUAUAAACCAAAUUUUAUCCAUAAAUUUUUAUAUUAAUUAAUUUAUAAUUUUAGUUUAAAAUACUUUUAAAAAUUAAUAGAGUCUUUGAAUGAAUUCAAGGCAUUAAUCUUGUUUAAUUUGGAGUUUAUUUGUCUAGUGAAAAAAUAAUAAUAAUAAUGAUUCUAUCUAUAAGAAAAGCAAAAGAUUCGUUCUAAAUAAUUUUUGUUUAUAAAUUUCUUGUAUUAAUUGAAUCACUAUUUGGGUUUCAAUUUUUUUUUAAAAUCCCUAGACUCGUUAAUGAAUCCAAUACAUUAAGUCUUUCUUAAUUUGAAAUUCAUUUGUCUAGUGGGAAAAAAAUGUAAUGAGUCUAUGUAGAAAAAAAACAAAAAUCAUUCUACAUUAAGUUUUAUUCAUAAAUUUUUAGUAUUAACUGGAUCACUAUUUGAAUUUUAAGUUAUUUUUUAAAAUUUUCUAGACUUAUUAAUGAAUUCAACAUAUUAAGUCUUGGUUAAUUUAAAGUUUAUUUGUCUAGUGAAAAAUUUUAUAAAUAAAUAAAUACUUUUGAAAUAAAUUUUGGUCUAUAACUUUAUAAUGUUAUUGAGUUUCACAACUUUUUAGUAGUAAUUAAAUUGGUUUUAAGUUUCAAAUUACUUUUGAAAAAUAAUAAAUUUAAUGUAUCAAGUAUAGUUCAAUUUGGAAUUUAUUUGCUUAACCAAAAAUUUUAGAAAAGUUCAAAGAAAUUCAAAAAAAACAAGUGUAAUUUAAAGAAAAAUCAUAUUUGAAUAUUUUCAAUAUUAGUAUUAGAUCGUAGUCAAAGAAAAAAAAAAGACAUCCUAUUCAAUUUUAUUUGUUUUUUAUAGGUUUUUUUUUUAAUUUAUCUAUAUUUUCCUUUUAUGUUCUAAAAUUGAUGAAAAUAAUUUAUACUUGUUCUUUAAAAACUAUUAUCUAUUUCACUUUAUUUUUAAAAACUAAAAACAAUGAACAAUGACCAAAUAAUAUUAUCAAUUUUUAAGAACAAAUUUUUAUUUUUGCAAAUAGAAAAUCAUUUUUAAUUAUAUGGCCAAACAAACUCUAAUAAUAUUGUUUUUAGACCUACAUUCAAUAUUGAUGGAUCUCCCCAUCUAUGAAUCCCUUCCUUGUCUAGGACAUAGAUGGACAAAUUAUUAUCAGACUUUAAACUUGAAAACCCGCUAUUCAUAAAGUCAAUUAUUAACCUUUAAAGCAAUAAAGGCGCAUAUGAAAAGUUGUAGCUUGGUCAUGAUAAAUAGCCACCAAAUAUAAAAAAUCAGGUAUGAAAAAAGACUCUCUAAAGAUAUUAUCGUCUGUCUCUUCCAAACCUCAACUUAAACUUUGGAGGGGCGUGCUUGAACAAAACAUCUAAACAGACCUUGUUACAGAUACACCACCAUUGUCCAUUCAAAGGCAAUUUGAAGGAAGUUAGCUGAAAAGGACAUUGCUAGUUGUAUACCAACAAUUUUCAUUCUCUUUGAAAAACAUUUAGUGAUUCUCUUUAAACAUUCUUUGAAAGAAAUACUUGAAAUCAAAUAUAUUAGUGUCAUCAUAUGAGUUGAUGUGGUAGAGCUUGGCUCUAUUUUUGAAAAGCUUUCAAAAACAAUUCUUAAAAUAUCUUUAAGUCAUUUUGAAAAACAAAAGAAAAAAAAAUUAUUUAAAAACUCAAAUAUGAGAAAUAGUUUUAUAGAGUGUUCUCUAUAAAAAUAGUAUGCACCACUUACUAUAAUACAAAAAUUUUCAAAUUAGUCACCAUAAUUUUUAUUCUUGCUCAUAACAAACUACAAAAAACAAUUGAAAACACCUAAAAAUUGUCCUAAAAGACAACUUAUUUUUAAAACAAAUUCUCAAAAACCUGUUAUCUAUUUAAAGCUUGCCAAACAUGUUUUUUUGAGUUAAAAACUAUUCUCAACAACAGUUUCAGACACGACCUAAGUUUUAAUAAAAUUAUUAUUAAAAAGGUUUAAGAAAUCAUCUCAAUAACAACAACAUAGUUUUACACAGGAACUUCAAUGGAGCAUGAGAUCCAACCAGCAGUUGUUGAUCAUGGCUGCUUAUUAAUUUGUGUUGUCUUGAUGCCAAUUCAAGUCUUAUUGCUUCUUGGCAUGCCUCUGGUAGAAGGCUUUGAUCCUCCCAAGUCCAUCUUCCAGAGAGGGAGGCUCAAUGGCAAAAGUUAUUCUAAGCCAAUUCUUCAUUCCCACAGCAAAACCUGCAACAAACACCAAACAAAAAUGCCUUAAAGCCAGGUGAGAAGCCCACAAAAGAGCAACAAGGCGUCAAUUGUUGGAUCGUGAAGCCUAAAUCAAUCUUAUUGUGCUUCACUGGGAUGCCCAAGUUGAGCUCCCAGUUGAGUUCACGAGAUCGAGCUGCCCGAUCAAUUUGUAGGAGUAUAAGGGGCAACACCCUUUCAAAAAAAAAAAAUUCUUGAAUGUUGGUGCAAUCUGUGGACGUAGGGAUCACAUUGAUUAUUGAAUUACGUUAAAAGUCUGGUUUUUUAUUUAUUUUUGCUCGAGUGUGUGGUUUGGUUAACACUACUAGCAUGGAAACUUCAAAGGCUUAAGUUUUUCGCUCCUUACCUGGAAAAACAAUUACUGAUUCCUCUUUAGACAGCUUCAUACAGAAAUCAAUAUCAUCCUCAAUGUCUUCCAGCAGAGACAGGUUUAGCUUCACCUGCAAUGGAAUUUUGAAAUCAAGAAAAUCAUAGACUCGAUAUUUUGAAGCAACAUAGUAUUUCGUAUUUUUUGUCCUUACCAUCACAAACAUGGAUCCUUCUGGCUUUGUGUGGGCAGGUCAGGCAAGGGAUAUCUUCAAUUCCAUCAAAACAUGUGCCCGCAGUUUCUCUGAGUAUGCUAAUGAUCUUCAAGUAAAAAUCAUCUGUUGUUUUCUCAAUGAUUUGAGGAACAGCCCCCUGAUAAACAAACCCCAUUAUCCUAAUAUAUUGGAUUGGCAACAUGAAUCUGUAUUGCUGUUAUCAACUUGAAAAAAAUCACAAACCUGAAUGAAGGUUGCAGGGUCAGAGGAAAUAUUGAGAGAACUCACAAUGGAUUCAACAACCUGAGAAGAAAGACAACAAAUGUAUAAGUUUCAGUUUAUGAGAACUGCAAGAACGUCAAACCAAGAUGUAAUAUAACCACUAAAUGUGAAAUUCUGAGUAGAAGAGAGAAAGAGCAGGGAGAACCCCGGAUUUGUGGAGGAUGCCAUUAGGAUCAUUGGUCACAAGCCAACCAAGUCUCCAACCAGGAACAAUCCAUCUCUUUGAUAUGGAUCCAAGUGUGAUAACAGGAGUAAUCGACCCAAAUGCUCCCAUUGACACAUAAGGGUUACCCCCAAAAGCAAGGUGGGCAUACACUUCAUCAGAAAUCACAAGAAUCCCAAGCAUUCUUGCAGUUUCAGCAACCUGAAA
rnacentral:lncRNA from 1 species